UUAGAGUUUGAUCCUGGCUCAGGAUGAACGCUAGCGGCAGGCUUAACACAUGCAAGUCGAGGGGCAGCGCUGGGUGGCAACACCCUGGCGGCGACCGGCGGAAGGGUGCGUAACACGUGAGCAACUUGCCCGUAUCCGGGACAUAACCGGCGGAAACGCCGACUAAUUUCCCAUAACAGCGGGGGCCGCAUGGCCCCCGUUUGAAAGACACGUCGGAUGCGGAUGGGCUCGCGGGACAUUAGCUGGUUGGAGUGGUAACGGCACACCAAGGCUACGAUGUCUAGGGGUUCUGAGAGGAAGGUCCCCCACACUGGAACUGAGACACGGUCCAGACUCCUACGGGAGGCAGCAGUGAGGAAUAUUGGUCAAUGGGCGGAAGCCUGAACCAGCCAUGCCGCGUGAAGGAAUGAGGCCCUACGGGUCGUGAACUUCUUUUGUGGCGGAGCAAUAAGGGCCACGUGUGGUCCGACGAGAGUACGUCACGAAUAAGCACCGGCUAACUCCGUGCCAGCAGCCGCGGUAAUACGGAGGGUGCAAGCGUUAUCCGGAUUUAUUGGGUUUAAAGGGUGCGUAGGCUGUCCGACAAGUCAGGGGUGAAAGCCCGGCGCCCAACGCCGGAACCGCCCUUGAUACUGCCGGGCUGGAAUGCGGAUGCCGUGGGAGGAAUGAGUAGUGUAGCGGUGAAAUGCAUAGAUAUUACUCAGAACACCGAUUGCGAAGGCAUCUCACGAAUCCGCCAUUGACGCUGAGGCACGAAAGCGUGGGUAGCGAACAGGAUUAGAUACCCUGGUAGUCCACGCCGUAAACGAUGAGUAC
rnacentral:rRNA from 1 species